rnacentral:rRNA from 1 species
AACGGAGCGGAGAUGCUCUGGUGCCUUCGGGAGCUGUGAGACAGGUGCUGCAUGGCUGUCGUCAGCUCGUGUUGUGAAAUGUUGGGUUAAGUCCCGCAACGAGCGCAACCCUUAUCCUUUGUUGCCAUCGAUUUGGUCGGGAACUCAAAGGAGACUGCCGGUGAUAAACCGGAGGAAGGUGGGGAUGACGUCAAGUCAUCAUGGCCCUUACGGCCAGGGCUACACACGUGCUACAAUGGCGCAUACAAAGAGAAGCGACCUCGCGAGAGCAAGCGGACCUCAUAAAGUGCGUCGUAGUCCGGAUCGGAGUCUGCAACUCGACUCCGUGAAGUCGGAAUCGCUAGUAAUCGUGGAUCAGAAUGCCACGGUGAAUACGUUCCCGGGCCUUGUACACACCGCCCGUCACACCAUGGGAGUGGGUUGCAAAAGAAGUAGGUAGCUUAACCUUCGGGAGGGCGCUUACCACUUUGUGAUUCAUGACUGGGGUGAAGUCGUAACAAGGUAAGCGUAGCGAG